UACGGAGGUGGCAAGCGUUGCUCGGAAUCACUGGGCGUAAAGGGCGCGUAGGCGGGGAGGUAAGUCGGGUGUGAAAUCCCUCGGCCCAACUGAGGAACUGCGCCCGAGACUGCUUUUCUUGAGUCCCGGAGAGGAAGAUGGAAUUCCCGGUGUAGCGGUGAAAUGUGUAGAGAUCGGGAGGAACACCAGAGGCGAAGGCGGCCACCUGGACAAGCACUCGAACACUCAACUGCGAAAGCGUGGGGAGCAAACAGG
rnacentral:rRNA from 1 species